CCUUUAUCUUAGAAUAUUCAGACACAAAAUAAUUAAUAUGUAUAAUGCCUUAGUUAGGUAAUCGAUCAUUAAUGAAAACUAUAUUACAAAUGUACUUACCCCUCUAAGUACUCCAUAGGGAUAAAGUUAACUAGCCCCUUCUAUGACAGCAUUACACCUUCAUAAAUAAUUACUAAAAAACAACCAAUUGCCACUCGGACUCGCGCACUAAGGGUUCCAUACCAUUACCUAUUAAAUAGUUGUUGUGACCCAUAGACUAUUCUAAACAACGACGAAGGGUAAUCCCUUUCGGCUUUUAAAACAUCUGGUAGAGUUUACAUUGUAAUUAUGUAAUUUAUUUAUUGAUGAUAACGAAACUUUUUUUAAAUUUUCAGACCAAAGAGUUACUGUAACGCCCCCCACAUCGCAUAGCCGCCAAAAGGAAUGCACAUUCCUGCAGCGUGCAUCGCCUCAACCUGAAUGAUGAAGAAUCUUCUAAAACCACGAGCAAUACCAAAGAGUUACUGUAACGCCCCCCACAUCGCAUAGCCGCCAAAAGUGCAUUCCUGCGCAGCGUGCAUCGCCUCAACCUGAAUGAUGAAGAAUCUUCUAAGGCCACUGACGGACAAUGUAAACUCAUGAAAUAUCACACCUACAACAAGUUAGAAAAGCAUAAUGAAGCACAAUCCAGAAAAAAGUUAAAAUGUCUAAUAAAUAACUAUUUAAUGCUCAAAAAAA